UAAGCACACCACAGAGGGAGUACGACCUCAAGGUUGAAACUCAAAGGAAUUGACAGGGCCCCGCACAAGCGGUGGAGCAUGUGGUUUAAUUCGAAGCAACGCGAAGAACCUUACCAAAUCUUGACAUCCUUUGACAACUCUAGAGAUAGAGCUUUCCCCUUCGGGGGACAAAGUGACAGGUGGUGCAUGGUUGUCGUCAGCUCGUGUCGUGAGAUGUUGGGUUAAGUCCCGCAACGAGCGCAACCCUUAAGCUUAGUUGCCAUCAUUAAGUUGGGCACUCUAAGUUGACUGCCGGUGACAAACCGGAGGAAGGUGGGGAUGACGUCAAAUCAUCAUGCCCCUUAUGAUUUGGGCUACACACGUGCUACAAUGGACAAUACAAAGGGCAGCGAAACCGCGAGGUCAAGCAAAUCCCAUAAAGUUGUUCUCAGUUCGGAUUGUAGUCUGCAACUCGACUACAUGAAGCUGGAAUCGCUAGUAAUCGUAGAUCAGCAUGCUCCGGUGAAUACGUUCCCGGGUCUUGUACACACCGCCCGUCACACCACUAGAGUUUGCAACAACCGA
rnacentral:rRNA from 1 species